UACAGAGGUGCCGAGCGUUAGGCGGAAUCACUGGGCUUAAAGCGUGUGUAGGCGGACUUCUAAGUACCUUGUGAAAUCCCACGGCUUACCCGUGGAACUGCUGGGUAUACUGGUCGUCUUGAGCCACUUAGGGGCUACCGGAACAAAUGGUGGAGCGGUGAAAUGCGUUGAUAUCCUAAGGAACACCGGUGGCGAAAGCGGCUCACUGGAUCUCUUCUGACGCUGAGGCACGAAAGCUAGGGUAGCGAACGGG
rnacentral:rRNA from 1 species